rnacentral:rRNA from 1 species
UACGAGGGGGGCGAGCGUUGUUCGGAAUUAUUGGGCGUAAAGGGUGCGUAGGCGGUUUGGUAAGUCUCGUGUGAAAUCUCCGGGCUCAACUCGGAGCCUGCACGAGAAACUGCCGGGCUUGAGUGUGGGAGAGGUGAGUGGAAUUCCUGGUGUAGCGGUGAAAUGCGUAGAUAUCAGGAGGAACACCUGUGGCGAAAGCGGCUCACUGGCCCGAUACUGACGCUGAGGCACGAAAGCGUGGGGAGCAAACAGG